CAUGCCACUGUCGAAAUAAAAUUGAUCAUAGUUGUAAUAGCCCAAUUUGCCCGGGGCCCAUUCAGAAUAAGCAGAAAAAAACAAGAAAAAAUAAUUAAAUAUCCACAGUCCAAAUACAUAGGCCCAACAUGGCCCAAAUCGUUUUUAACCUAAACACUAGCCUAGCCCGAUAUCCCUAACCCAAUUAACCUAACACCUAACCCUGGCCCUAAUCAUCUAAGCCCAAAACAAAAUCACAAACAGAAACCUUAGGGCUUCUGGAAACUAAGCCGCCGCAGCAGCCUCACAACGCGCCGCCUUUGGCCUUCCUCUCUACGCGCGCCACGCCACCACCUCCGUACUCUAGUACCUACAGCAAACAACAAGCCAAGGCAGCAAAAAAGGAAGAAGACAAAAUAGCGAAAAAGAAUGAGAUUUUUGUAUUUUUCUCCUUUUAUUAUUCUGUAUUUUUGUUAUAAAACAGAUUGUAAACCGAACGAAAAGAAGGACCCCCACUCUACUAUAUCACAAAAAAAAAAUUAAAUCAAUACAAAAGAAAAGGUUUUCUUUUUCCUUUUUUUCGAUUCGGUUCUAUUUUCUUUCACGAUUGCCUUUCUUUCUUUUUCUGUUUUGCUCUUAACCAUAUACAUAGAAGCAUAUAUAUAGAAUAACAAAGAAAAAAAAGGGUGUUAGAACUCGUACCUGAUUAAGUCCGCCGUCGAAUCCCUCAUUGAUUCUGAUUGGAACCAGGCGGUUGGGGGCUCCGAUGCUGAAGCGGCGUUGGGGGGGUAGAUAUUAUUAGUUUUUAAGUUCCUUUUAAAAAAAAAAUCAAAUUGGCUGCUAAUUUUAGGGUUUAGUUUUGUUUAUAUAUAACGAAGGAAACAGUGCCGUUUAAAGGCCUGUGACCAUCGCGGUGACCCGACCCGAGGGUAGGAUCCGCGCACUUUCGUUCGUUGGUCUUUUUGCGCAAGUGGUCCCUUGAUUAUUAUAGCGUGUUUAAAUAGAUCUUUUUAUUUCCUUUAAAUUUUGCCCUGCAUUUUAUUAUUUUGUUUUAAUUGAGUCUACAUGAAACGCUGCGUUUUGGAGGGUGGGGAAUAUUCCCUUUUCAGUCCCCCAUGUCAUUCGCGCUUUGUAAUUUGAACCAUUCUUUUUAUUUAUUUUAGAUUUCUCCCCUGAAUUACUGCUUUAAUGCCAAUUUUGUCCUCUGCUUUGUUAUUAUUGCUAAAAUUGUUUAGUUUAUUAUCUUUACUAUUGUUAUUAUUGGUAUUAUUAUCAUAUUAGUUUAUAUAUUUAAUUAUUUUCAUAUAUAUAUAUACACUGUUUUACUUUAUUACAUACUGUUAUUUUAAUUCUUUUUCUAUUCUAAUGCAUUAGCAUAUAUUUUAUGUUAAUUAUAUUAUUUAUACAUUUUAAUGAGUUUAUUUUUAUAAUACUUUUUCUUAGAAUGUUUAUUCAUAUAUACUUUUAUGCUUUAAAAAUCAAUAACAUUUUUAUGUAAUACUAUUUUAUAUAUAUAAUUUGUAUUAAGUUUUUAUUAUUAUUAUACGUAUAUAUAUACCUAAUGUAUCGUCGAUUUCAUAUUUACAUUUUUUACUUAUUACAUAUAUAACUUAUUUCAUUUAAAAUUUUAUUUCAUUAUGUACUUGAUUUAUAUCAACCUUUUAUACAUACUAUUAUACAUAUAUUAUCAUAAGAAAAUUUCCAAUCCAUAUGUAAUAUUAUUUAAAUUAAUAUGCAUAUAUUAUUUCAUGUAUUUUGGUUUUCCUCAUAUACAAUAUUCACUUUAAAUUUCAUUUUGAUAUUAUUAUUUUAUAUAUAGAAUUUAUUUUUUUAUCUUCAUUUUUGAUUUAUUUUAAACUCAUAUAUGUAUAUUGUUUAUUUUAAAAUUUUACACAUAUAACUCAUUUUUUUAUAUUGAUAAUUCGUUUAUUCUUUGAAUGUCGAUAUUAUUAGCAUUGGCAUAAUGUAUGAUUUGGAUUAUUGUUACUAUGCUUGUUUGUAUUUACCUAUUGAUUAUUUGUAAUUCAUUAGUUUAUGUUAUUUACAAAUCAUCCUUUAUGUUGUACAUUAUUAUUCAAUCGUUUUUUUAUCCAUUCAAAAGAUUUCAAAUGUCUAAGUUAUUUCAUACAAAAGUUUUCAAAAAUAAUGCAAUACUCGAAAUUUGGAAUCCUCGAGAGAAUUGAGGCCUAACGUAUUGGGUUCCAAUUUUCCUCGUUGAAUCUGAAUAAUCGAAAAUUUUCUUUAAUCAAAACCCAUAAAUAAAGAGCUCAUUCUCGGGAAUUCGAUACGUUGUGUCCUAACGCAUUGGAUAUGACAUGUUAUUUUCUCGAGGCGAGGAUUUUUCUAAUAAAUGAAAAUAAAGGCAAUAUUCGAUAUUUAGGAAUUUUGUGAAAUCGAGCCCUAACUUACUAGGUUUUGAUUUUCUCAUUUGACCCAAAUAAUCAGAUAUCCUUCUCAAAAUGCAUAGGUUUUAAAAGUUAGGAGAUAAACUUAAUUUUGAGGAUUUAAAAUGUCGCACUCUAACUUAUUGAAUGUGACAAUUUAUUUCUCUAAAACAAUGAGCCUUAUCAGCCAAUUCAUAUUAUUCAGGAUGAAAUGAUUGUAUUCUAAAAUCUUUUUAAAAUUUCGACACUAAGACAAUAAACAAUCGAUUCGGUACCAAUUUUGGGCGUUAUGAGGGUGCUAAUUCUUCCUCGUGCGUAACCGACUCUCGAACCUGUUUUCUCGAAUCUCGUAGACCAAAUUCAUUUUUAAUGGUGAACCGGUCACACCUAAAUAAAAGAUCGGUGGCGGCUCCCAUUUAUUUCAAAAAGUCGAUUCCCAUUUUUCAAAUCCUUAAAAAUGGUUUCGACAGCUUGGCGACUCCGCUGGGGACACCAAGAGAGUCAAGCCGCAAAAUUGAUUAUUUUUGGUUUUAUUGUCGAAAAUUGAAAAGUCGAUUUGAAAAAUUACAAUCCUCUCUUUGCACUAGUUUGUAUGAUUACUGUAAAUCAAGUUUUAUAUCUUGGCAUCAUAUUGCAUAAUGACUGUUUUGUCUUACCCUUUUUAAGUGGGAGUGAGAAGCUACUCCUUCAUGAGGUUUUCACCUCCGUUCAGGAUAGUGGAUCACUUUCGAGAUACAUCCGUACCUAUGUCUUCGUGAGAUCUUCAUCUCUGUGCAGCCAUAGGGAAAUGUAUUCCCCUGAACCGAACUCGGUCUGUAUGAGCCUAUAAUGGGUGAGGAUCAAGGAAUCUGCUGGUUCGAGUACCUCAACUUUAGAAUCAAACUGCAUGUAGAAGACCUUAGGAACCAAUCCUAGGUAGAGCCCCUCCAAAUCCCUAGUGGUUACCCGACUAGGUACUUUUGUUUUCCUUGUUUGCUUCUAUUUUGUACUAACCCAUCUUGUUGUGUUUUGAUUGCAUUGCAUUUGCAUCUUAGGAAAGAUAUAUUGAUUCAAGUUCGAUUACUAAAUUAGAAAGCUUGUCAUGGAAUACGAAUUCCUUGAUAAAAUGGAAAAUAGUACGACUGCCCGAAUAUAUUCCAAGAAACACAAGAAAGGUGAUGAAAGAGCUCGUAACCUUUACUUCGUGGCCCGAAGAUUCAAGAUGACUAUCUAAGAGCCAUCGACAUUCUAACUUCCUUAAAGGAGCUGAUCAGCAUUACGAGGAUAGACAGACAACGGAUUGCGAUCAAGAUCAAGCAAAAGGAGUUAGAAGAGACAUUCUUUUGAAGCUAGCGAGAUUUAACGUAUGGGUGAAGGAAGGGAUCGAUGUUGUGUCUUGGAAUAUGAGGGCGAGGCCGUAUACACAUAUUUGCUUUAUGUAAAUAAAAUUUUCUUUUAGAAAAGUUUUCUAAAUGUAAUUGAAUCAGAAUCAAUGUCUCUUUAGGCAUGCAUUUCAUACAUCUGCAUCAUAUGCAUUAAAAUCCAUUGAAAGAGUCUAAUUGAGUAAAUUUAUUUCAGCUAAUCUGGAAAGCCAACCAACCAAACACAUUUACGGUACUCAUCGCAAAACUAAGGAAAUGGAUCAAAGAUUAGAGAAACUGGAGCAAAUGCAAAAAAGAUAUGCAAGAACGGUUACAAGUGCAAAUGCAAGAGCGGCUAGAUAAAAUCCAAGAAGAUAUGACGAAAAAAUUAAUCAAAGCUCAAAAAGAUGCGAUGGUUGAAUUGACCCAUCUACUAACGGGAGGAGUAGAUAAGGGAAAGGGCCCUAUGGCCAAUCCUGGGGAAGGUAAUGAGGAUUUGUUAUAUCCACCGGGUUUUACUCCACCAAAUGUACAAACUGAAAUAUACCCAAAAGGACCGUCUGUCACAAUUAGGUCGCAACAAUUACAAACUGGUGUCACGAUCCCCACAAUUUUCUAGUGACGAUCAAGUUUAAGCCCGGGAUAAAACCCAAUUAAUCCUAUUACUCCCGAUUUUGAUAAAAAGCUGAAGAAGGAACGGCAAACGUGGAAUUACCAAAACAGUGGGAAGAUAGGUAUAAAUGGUUGGAGGAAAAAAUCAAAGCCUUGGAAAGCGCUGAUAGUAAUCAGGGAAUCGACGCUAAAGAUCUAAGCUUAGUCCUAGACUUAGUACUUCCUCCCAAAUUCAAAAUGCCUGAAUUUGAAAAAUACAAUGGAACUAGUUGCCUCGAGGCCCACAUCACCAUGUUCUGUAAAAGGAUGACUGGUUACAUUAACAAUGAUCAGCUGCUAAUACACUACUUCCAAGACAGUUUGGUAGGGGCAGCGUCUAAAUGGUACAAUCAAUUGAGCCGUACCAUGAUUGGUUCAUAGAGGGACAUAGCACAUGCAUUCAUGAAACAGUACAGUCAUGUGACAGAUAUGGUUCCUGAUAGAAUCACUUUGUAAAACAUGGAAAAGAAGCCAAGCGAAAGCUUUAGACAGUAUGUGCAGAGGUGGAGAGAAAUUGCAGUCCAGGUUCAGCCACCCCUCUUGGAGAAAGAGACGACAAUGCUCUUCAUCAAUACACUGAAGGCCCCGUUCAUCACGCAUAUGUUAGGAAGUGCAACAAAAAGCUUUCCUGACAUAGUUAUGAAUGGUGAAAUGAUUGAGAAUGCUAUAAGAACCGGAAAAAUUGAGGCAGAAGAGAGUAAUAAGAGGUUAGCCCUAAGGAGAAGAGAAAAUGAGGUGAACAAUAUAGGUUACUCUAAAUCAGUUACUGUGAGUCAACCAGGAAAGGUGGCUGAUAAUCAACAAAAUUCAUCAAAGCAAGAUUCUGGCAUGAAGACUGAGAAGUUCCAGUUUACGCCAAUCCCAAUAUCGUAUAGGGAACUAUAUCAAAAAUUUUUGAUGCACAUGUUGUCUCUCCUUUUCAUGUGAAACCUCUACAACCUCCGUACCCCAAAUGGUAUGAUGCGAACGUACAAUGUGACUACCAUGCAGGAAUUACGGGGCACUCAAUAGAGAAUUGCACUGCCUUCAAAAAGCAAGUUGAAAGACUCAUCAACAUGGGUACUGUCAAGCUUGGUGACUCAUCUAGUGCGGAAAAUUUGUUACCCAAUCAUAAUUGAUAAUGGAGUGAAUGCAACGCAUGAAGAAGAGUGGGAAAUGUUCACAUCGACGAAAAUACAACUGAAGAAGGGACCUUGUUAGAUAUCCGCCCUUAUAACCCUGGGAGUGUUCUAAGCAAUUGGAGUGCGAAAGAAAUCCCUAUAGCAUUUAAAGCUUAUUUGGAGUAAUAUUCAGAACGUACUCGUUGCUUUUAGUUUAGGAGCAAUGAGAACUUCUUUGUGAAAUAGGCUCAUGUCUGAACGUUAUUAUUCUAAUGAAAUACAUCAUUAUGACCAUAUUUGAACCAAUGUUCUUUCAUUCUUUUGAAUAAUUAUUUUUGAUUAUUUCAUUCUUUUGGAUUUUCUUCCACAUCAUUCAUUCAUAAUCAUAUUGUACAAAUAAUCAUUCAUAAAUACAUUCUUUGUGGAUCCCCAGAUAUCAAUGACAUGAAUGACGCUGCUACAAACUCAAAUUUUCUUUCUGAGCGAGGCAUGUGUUUAGAGAGAUCUCAUGAAUUUGAAAAUAACAUAGAUUGUAGCUUAUCUCCGGACUUGUUGAGGAUGGUAGAACAAGAGGAUAGACAGAUCCUACCUUACAAGGAAUCAUUAGAAAUUGUGAGCUUGGUGAAGAAUAUAAUUGACCUGAUUGCAAAGACGAAGCAAGACCUUGUUGAGUCACCUCUAGAGUUCAAAGAUGUUUUUAUAUGAUCAUACCAGGAUAUGCCCGGGUUAAGCGCUGAUAACAAAAUCUGCACAACAACACGAUGAUAAAAAUUUACAGUGUGAACGAUGCAAUUCUUUGCCAGGGCAAUGCCUUUCUUGUUAACUAGUAUAGCUUUGCCCGUUUGAAGUCGAGUUUCCAUCUCUUCAAGUUUUGUUGGAUUUUAUCCUGAUUGAAGAGGAGGAUCCAAAGUUUUCUAUCGUAGUUUUGCCCCAAGGCUCUGUGAAAGAAAUCUGAUACCAAAAGAUCUUUCACAUACAAGAUGAAAGUGGAAGAACUUAUGUGUAAAACUUUAUUGAGAAUCAAUAGUUCUAAUCAAAGGAGAUACCAUGGACUUGCCUAAUUCCAUGAGUUUAGAUCCAAUUUUCAAAAAAAAAAAAUCAAUCAAAAAAUCCAAAAAAAUUCAAAAAAAUCAAAAAAAAAAGAAAAAAGAAAAAAAGAAGGGAAAUCAAAAUCAAAAUCAAAAUAACAAAUGAAAUGAAAAAGAAAAAGGAGAGGCCAAGGCAAAAACCUGCAAAGGGCGCUUUGUGACCAAAGGUGGAUUUGAGUUGAAAACCCGAAAAGGGCGACUCAAAUUUUGAGCAAAAUAGGGCACGAACAUCACCAUUAUCGAGGAAUUCUAAUGGGAAUUGCUUCAUUUUUGAGAUCAUUGGAGGCUGUUUCAUACGCCAAUGCCAUCAUAUGCCGAUAUAAAAUUCCAAAGAAGAUUAUAUUGGAUAAUGCGUUGAGCCUAAACAAUAGCACGAUAGCUGAGGUCUGAAAUCAAUUCAGAAGCAGAGACCACGGUUCGUCACCAAAUUUCCUAGAGAUGAACAUCAAGAAAGUUGAAAAAAAUGAUUGAGAUUUGCAAGGACUGGCAUGAGAAAUUACCAUUUGCCCUCAUCGCUUGUCGAACAUCUGUACUGGGGCAACACCUGUCUCUUUGGUUUACAUGAUUGAGGUAGUUUUACCUAUUGAAAUCCCCUCUCUUCGGGUAUUAGUUGAGCUAGAGUUGGAGGGAUCCAAUUGCGAUGUGAUCAGUUGGACCUAGGAAAAGGGUUAAAAGUUGUUCAUCAGGGUCGGAUGUACCAGAAACAAAUGAUACGAGCCCAUAAUAAACAGGGUCGUCUCAGAGAAUUCCACGAGAGGGCUGGAUGUUAAAAAGGAUCCUUCCUCAAUGAAAGGAUUCUAGAGGGAAAUGAAUGCCAAACCGGGAAUGUCCCUAUGUUGUAAAGAAGACCUUUUCAAAGGAGCACUAAUCUUGAGUGAGAUUGCCAGAUCCUGUAAACUCAGAUUCAGUCAAGAAUUACUUCACCUGAAGAAGAAGAAAGGACCAAGGUGAAAACCAGCAAAGGGCACUUUGAGUCAGAAAAAAUAUGAAAAAUGAAAAAUGAAAAAGUAAAAAAUGGAUAGGCUAAGGGGAAAACCCGCAAAGGGCACCUUAGGCCAAAGGAGAUUUUAGUUGAAAACCCGAAAAGGGCGGCUCAAAUUGUGAUCAGAUUGGGGCAUAUGAUGACCUUGCUAUACCUGAAUGAAUAGGAAUAACAUCUUGGAGCAUUGACAGAGUACUGCAGAUCUGUUAAACACAUGUCAAACUCAGAAUGGUCUUCAGAAAGUUUGUACAGAGAAGUUCAAGCUACGAUAUCUGGGGCACCCAAUUUUCAUACUAUUUAUAUUAAAUUUGUUGUUCUUAGAAUACUUCAUUCUUUUCCAAGAUGCACAUUCCCAAUCAAUUUCUUUGUUAUCCUUCUUUAUUAUUUUUGGUAAUUUAUUCCUUUCGAGCUAUGCUCAGAACCAACUUUAUUUUUAUCCAUUGUUAUGACCUUUUUGCAAGCAUGUUGCAUUGGAAUAAUGAUUAAUGGACUAAUAAAACUUUCACAAGGGAAGUUUUGCAUAUUACUCUAGAAGUUUCUAAAUAAUAUAGGAGCCUGAAACAGGACUAUUGUUUAGAACGCACUAGGUUUAAAGGUUGGAAAUCUAAAAAGGAAGAGUCUAAAUUAAGAUUUUCUCUUUGGAUUUUGUUGUCAAAACAUUGAUUGAACAAAGUGACAAGAUGUCGUGUCGGUGAUAGGGCUUCAAUGAACAAGCAAGCAAUAUCACCAAGCAAUAAGAGGGGGUUUCCUUAGAGAAGAGAAUCCUUCAUUUGUGCAUAGGCAUUUGGUAUGACACCCGGGAAUGGUGUAAAGGACCAAAGAGUUUCACAUUCUAUAUCCUUGAAUUGUGAUAGGAAAGAAUUGAGAAAAGGCCAGAUUUUUCUACCCUUGGGUUACAGCGGGAGAAAGAUGGUACAAGUUUUGUGUCCUAGUGGAUUGAACUUUGAAGUUCAUGGUGGGGGCAAUAUGAUUAAGUGUUUCUUUGGAGAUGCCAGUCGAGCAAGAAGGUGUUGUAGCUCGUCAGUGAUAAAGCCUUAAUAAACUUCGAACCAUGAUAACUUAAGCGAUAAAGAAAGAUCGUUGUCAAAAAUGACAUUCUGCAUUCAUGCAAACAUCAUUUAUACAUACCUAGUUAGGAGCAUUUGACUCAUUCUGAUCAUGACAUCCUAAUCACUAGGCAUAAUUAAGUUCAUAAAAUGAAUUAUAUAGGUCAUGUUCCCCAGAGAACAAACCGAUGAAACUAUAAGUCCUAGCUCCCUGUACAGCAGUGGAAUAGGCGGAAGAUUGUAAAUCCUAGCUUCCUGACCAGCAGCGGAAUAGGUGGAAGACUAUGUCCUAACUCCCUAAACAGCAGUGGAAUAUGCAGAAGAUUGUAAAUCCUAGCUCUCUGACCAGCAGCAGAAUAGGUGGAAGACUGUAAGUCCUAGCUCCCUGAACAGCAGUGGAAUAGGGAGAAGAUUGUAAGUCCUAGCUCCCUGAGCAGCAGUGGAGCAGGCUGAAGAUAACAGAUCUUGCCUUCCUAGAUCGACAACAAAGCAGAUCGAAGACACAAGCCUUGCCUCCCUCGGUUGUAAUGGAGCAGGUUGAAGAUAGCAGAUCUUGCCUUCCUGCAUUGACAGCGAAGCAGAUCGAAGACACAAGCCUUGUCUCCCUCGAUUGUAGUGGAGCAGGUUGAAGAUAGCAGAUCUUGCCUUCCUACAUCAACGGCGAAGCAAAUCUAAGACACAAGCCUUGCCUCCCUCGGUUGUAGUGGAGCUGGUUGAAGAUAGCAUGUCUUACCUUCCUGCAUCGACAGUGAAGUAGAUCGAAGCCAAUGGUCCUAUCUCCCUGAAGUUGCAGUGGAGUGGAUCGAAGCAUCAAUUCCUAUACCUUUGAAGAUACAGUAGGUUGGAAUGAAACAACCAAAGUCCAGCACGACCGGGCAAAUUGACCAUUUUUAGUCUUUGCUCCGUUCCCGUUAUACAACAACGAGCAAAGAGGGGCAACUGUAAUAGCCCAAUUUGCCCGGGGCCCAUUCAGAAUAAGCAGAAAAAAAACAAGAAAAAAUAAUUAAAUAUCCACAGUCCAAAUACAUAGGCCCAACAUGGACCAAAUCGUGUUUAACCUAAACACUAGCCUAGCCCAAUAUCCCCAACCCAAUUAACCUAACACCUAACUGUGGCCCUAAUCAUCUAAGCCCAAAACAAAAUCACAAACAGAAACCCUAGGGUUUCUGGAAACUAAGCCGCCGCAGCAGCCUCACAACGCGGCGCCUUUGGCCUUCCUUUCUACGAACGCCACGCCACCACCUCCCUACUCUAGUACCUACAGCAAAUAACAAGCCAAGGCAGCCAAAAAGGAAGAAGACAAAAUAGCGAAAAAGAAUGAGAUUUUUGUAUUUUUCUCCUUUUAUUAUUCUGUAAUUUUGUUAUAAAACGGAUUGUAAACUGAACGAAAAGAAGGACCCCCACUCUACUUUAUCACAAGAAAAAAAUGAAAUCAAUACAAAAGAAAAGGUUUUCUUUUUCCUUUUUUUCGAUUCGGUUCUGUUUUCUUUCCCGAUUGCCUUUCUUUCUUUUUCUGUUUUGCUAUUAACCAUAUACAUAGAAGCAUAUAUAUAGAAUAAAAAAAAGGGUGUCAGAACUCGUACCUGAUUAAGUCCGCCGUCGAAUCCCUCGUUGAU
rnacentral:lncRNA from 1 species